CUCACAGCCAACAUGCCAUGGUAACUGAGACAGGAAUCAUGCCGUUGAGACACUGGUGUUAUUUAACCAAAUCAUGGUAACUGAAAUUUGUGCAUAUUGGAACUGCACAAAGUGAGGACUGAUUGUCCUGAAUUGAUAUAAAAUUACUUACACCUAGAAAGGCCAGUGCAACAAUCAGUAUGUACAUUGUAAUCUGAUUAGAAAACUGAUAAGAGAAAAAUACGGAAAAAAUAUUAUUCACAAUAACUACUCCUAAGUUAUAAUUCUUAUGAAUAAGCUCAAAAAAGAAUGGGCAAAGGUUAUAUUUAAAAACAAACUUUAUUGAAAGAUGUAAAGGAAGACAUGGAUAAACGGAGAAACAUCUUCCUGGAAAAGCAGAGUCAACAUUUUGAAGUCACUAUUCUAGGAGCUGGAGACACAGUAUUGAACAAAGCUGGCAAAAUCCCUGCCUUGUGUUGUGGUUCUUGCACUCUAAUGAAGAAAAGUCGGGCUGCUGAGGAAGCUCCAUGUGGGUGGAAAUAACCUCUUCCUGGAUAUACAGAGGUGUCGACUUUGUGAGAUUGUAAGUUUCACAAGGAUGGGACCACGUCUCUCUUAGUGACACUGCAUCCCCAGCCGUCUGGCAUGAUAGGUCCUCGAUAAAUGCUAGAUUAAUGAACAAAGGAAUUAAUAAAUGAAUCUCAGUAUUUUAAUCUGGUUGGUGCCCAAAAAACCAUAAGCACAAAUAUCCAUAAUACAAGGUCAAGAGUUU
rnacentral:lncRNA from 1 species